GGUACCAAGAAUAUUAGUAGUUUAAGAAAUAUUUUUGCAAACUUGGAUGAUUUUUACAGGUCAUUAUCUUUUAAGGGUUUGUUCUUUUGUAGAUAAAUAUCAUGAAAAAAUUGAUUAAGUUUUUUUUUAACUAAUUUAUUCAUAUUUUCAUAUUUUUCAAAAUAGAUAAAUUACUUUCUCAUAGAUAGUAUUUACUCAUGAAGUGGAAAAAAAAUCUUUGCCACCCA
rnacentral:lncRNA from 1 species